AGAGUUUGAUCCUGGCUCAGAUUGAACGCUGGCGGCAGGCCUAACACAUGCAAGUCGAACGGUAACAGGAAGAAGCUUGCUUCUUUGCUGACGAGUGGCGGACGGGUGAGUAAUGUCUGGGAAACUGCCUGAUGGAGGGGGAUAACUACUGGAAACGGUAGCUAAUACCGCAUAACGUCGCAAGACCAAAGAGGGGGACCUUCGGGCCUCUUGCCAUCGGAUGUGCCCAGAUGGGAUUAGCUUGUUGGUGGGGUAACGGCUCACCAAGGCGACGAUCCCUAGCUGGUCUGAGAGGAUGACCAGCCACACUGGAACUGAGACACGGUCCAGACUCCUACGGGAGGCAGCAGUGGGGAAUAUUGCACAAUGGGCGCAAGCCUGAUGCAGCCAUGCCGCGUGUAUGAAGAAGGCCUUCGGGUUGUAAAGUACUUUCAGCGGGGAGGAAGGGAGUAAAGUUAAUACCUUUGCUCAUUGACGUUACCCGCAGAAGAAGCACCGGCUAACUCCGUGCCAGCAGCCGCGGUAAUACGGAGGGUGCAAGCGUUAAUCGGAAUUACUGGGCGUAAAGCGCACGCAGGCGGUUUGUUAAGUCAGAUGUGAAAUCCCCGGGCUCAACCUGGGAACUGCAUCUGAUACUGGCAAGCUUGAGUCUCGUAGAGGGGGGUAGAAUUCCAGGUGUAGCGGUGAAAUGCGUAGAGAUCUGGAGGAAUACCGGUGGCGAAGGCGGCCCCCUGGACGAAGACUGACGCUCAGGUGCGAAAGCGUGGGGAGCAAACAGGAUUAGAUACCCUGGUAGUCCACGCCGUAAACGUUGUCGACUUGGAGGUUGUGCCCUUGAGGCGUGGCUUCCGGAGCUAACGCGUUAAGUCGACCGCCUGGGGAGUACGGCCGCAAGGUUAAAACUCAAAUGAAUUGACGGGGGCCCGCACAAGCGGUGGAGCAUGUGGUUUAAUUCGAUGCAACGCGAAGAACCUUACCUGGUCUUGACAUCCACGGAAGUUUUCAGAGAUGAGAAUGUGCCUUCGGGAACCGUGAGACAGGUGCUGCAUGGCUGUCGUCAGCUCGUGUUGUGAAAUGUUGGGUUAAGUCCCGCAACGAGCGCAACCCUUAUCCUUUGUUGCCAGCGGUCCGGCCGGGAACUCAAAGGAGACUGCCAGUGAUAAACUGGAGGAAGGUGGGGAUGACGUCAAGUCAUCAUGGCCCUUACGACCAGGGCUACACACGUGCUACAAUGGCGCAUACAAAGAGAAGCGACCUCGCGAGAGCAAGCGGACCUCAUAAAGUGCGUCGUAGUCCGGAUUGGAGUCUGCAACUCGACUCCAUGAAGUCGGAAUCGCUAGUAAUCGUGGAUCAGAAUGCCACGGUGAAUACGUUCCCGGGCCUUGCACUCAACGCCCGUCA
rnacentral:rRNA from 1 species